rnacentral:rRNA from 1 species
AGAAUCAACGCUGGCGGCGUGCCUAACACAUGCAAGUCGAACGAGAAAGGGGAGCAAUCCCUGAGUAAAGUGGCGCACGGGUGAGUAACACGUGACUAACCUACCCUGGAGUGGGGGAUAACUGAGGGAAACCUUAGCUAAUACCGCAUAACACCUACGGGUCAAAGGAGCAAUUCGCUUCAGGAGGGGGUCGCGGCCGAUUAGUUAGUUGGCGGGGUAAUGGCCCACCAAGACGAUGAUCGGUAUCCGGCCUGAGAGGGCGCACGGACACACUGGAACUGAAACACGGUCCAGACUCCUACGGGAGGCAGCAGUGGGGAAUUUUGCGCAAUGGGGGAAACCCUGACGCAGCAACGCCGCGUGGAGGAUGAAGUCCUUCGGGACGUAAACUCCUUUCGAUCGGGACGAUUAUGACGGUACCGGAAGAAGAAGCCCCGGCUAACUUCGUGCCAGCAGCCGCGGUAAUACGAGGGGGGCGAGCGUUGUUCGGAAUUAUUGGGCGUAAAGGGUGCGUAGGCGGUUUGGUAAGUCUUGUGUGAAAUCUAUGGGCUCAACUCAUAGUCUGCACGAGAAACUGCCGGGCUUGAGUAUGGGAGAGGUGAGUGGAAUUCCUGGUGUAGCGGUGAAAUGCGUAGAUAUCAGGAGGAACACCUGUGGGGAAAGCGGCUCACUGGUCCAUAACUGACGCUGAUGCACGAAAGCUAGGGGAGCAAACAGGAUUAGAUACCCUGGUAGUCCUAGCCCUAAACGAUGAUCGCUUGGUGUGACAGGUACCCAAUCCUGUUGUGCCGGAGCUAACGCGUCAAGCGAUCCGCCUGGGGAGUACGGUCGCAAGGCUGAA